rnacentral:rRNA from 1 species
GGACUACAGGGGUUUCUAAUCCGGUUUGCUCCCCACGCUUUCAUGCCUCAAUGUCAGGAACAGAAUAGUUAGCUGCCUUCGCCUUUUUGGUGGUCAUCCAUAGAUCAAUGGAUUUCACCCCUCCUCAUAGAGUUCCGCCAACCUCUCCUGUCCUCUAGAAGAGCAGUUUUACCAACUUCCACCAAGUUGAGCCUGAUUUCCACUGAUAACUUACUCUACCAUCUACGCAUCCUUUACGCCCAGUAAAUCCGGAUAACGUUCGCCACCUAUGUCUUACCGCGGCGGCUGGCAC